rnacentral:rRNA from 1 species
UACGUAGGGGGCUAGCGUUGUCCGGAUUUAUUGGGCGUAAAGAGCGUGUAGGCGGCCAGGUAGGUCUGGUGUGAAAACUCGAGGCUUAACCUCGAGAUGUCAUCGGAAACCAUUUGGCUAGAGUCCGGAAGAGGAGAGUGGAAUUCCUGGUGUAGCGGUGAAAUGCGCAGAUAUCAGGAAGAACACCAAUGGCGAAAGCAGCUCUCUGGGACGGUACUGACGCUGAGACGCGAAAGCGCGGGGAGCGAACAGG